CUGGAAGUUGGGAGGGGAUGCAGAUGGGACAUUUCAUCCAUUUUUGUCCAAAGAGAUGCCCCCUACCACAUGAAGACCUGUCCCAGGGGGUUGUGUUUCUGAGGCAGAAGAGGAUGAGGAUGGGAAGCUCUUCCACAGCAGAACAAGCUUCAGACUGAAUGUUUCCAGCAGUGGGACAUCUUGCCCAUGAGGAAACCCUGCCACCUGCCAGCAAGAGAUGUGGGAAUCAUCAGGACACAAGAAAAAUCAGCCAGAAUGCUGCUGCUGCUGCAACAUUAGAGGGAGCUUCCCAGCAAAACAAACGUCUCUUGGGAACAUCAGGUGGAUGAAAAAGUUCCUGCGAACAAGCUUGUCACCACAAUGACUUCAUGCUCUGCUGCCUCCCCAAUGGAGCGGGCACCGCUGCAACUAGCCAGCUGCCUCCGCUGUGUUUGCUGGCUGCAGCUGCCACUGCUUGUACCCAGCCAUGAUCGCUGCUGCUGUGUUGCCUGCACUGCCUGCCACACCAACCCGAUAUAGCACUAGCCUGUAGUGUUGCCUUUCCCUGGUCUUAAAAUUAAGAACCAAACACGGUUUAAAGGAAAAGACGUUUUUACCUCGGUGUUUAUUUAAGGAUCCUUAAAGGUGCAUGACUUCGUCCAGGUAGAAUGCGCCGAAAUGAACACUGAAAUGCACCUGAAAUGCAUCCGAAAUGCACCCCGAAAAUGCACACAAAAUGCAUCCCCUGAAAUGCACUCACAUGAUAGAUCGCGUAUACUAUUUAUAGACCUUGCAAAUUAGCAUAUCUAUCAAAGAUUCCCCAAUGAGAAGCUUAAAUGUAUAGCAUGAUAUCCCCCCAUCCCAAGGAAAUCCCCCCUGGAUGGGCCUCGCUUAGUUUACAGGAUGUGUUCUAGAGAGGACCUUGGUUCUUUGGGAUAGCAUAGAACUUUCUGGCCCCAACUGUGAGGCCUCCAGGAUGUUUGGUCUCCUGGCUCAAGAGAAUAUUAGGACUAUGUUAAGUUAUCGAGUUUAAGGAAUUACAAGUAUGCAUUCUAGAGGCACUAAGGAUAUCUAAAAGGUAUAUUAAAAGGUAUAUAAAAGGUAUGUAAAAGAAGAGGCAAAAAAUCAUCAUGGCAUCAGUAGCAACCAUGCUGUCUUGCCUGUCGCACCUGGACGAGCCCACAGCCACAGCCAUCAUCUGCGGCACAAGCCUGCUUGCACCUGGCUGAGCCCGCGGCCACUGCUGCUUGUACCCAGCCGGUUCCCCGCCAACGGAAGGAACACGCAGCCUACUGCUGUUUGGAAAUCACACCCAGCCCACCAUGGCAGCUAUGCAGAUGCACCGCAGUUAACAGCAUGCACGGUCCAUCUGCUGAGCUGACGCCGACAAACCUCCCGGAGCUUCUUGUGGUGACACUGUCCCUGUGUUCUAUUUCUUUCUGUUUAUCCCUCUGUUCCCUGUUUACUCUCUUUUCUAUCCCCCUUUAGUAGGAACACUUACUAUUUUCUAGCAAUAAAUGGUCCUCAGAUAUAAUAUUGCCUCAUUUGAGCUUUAUUUUUGUCCAAAAAAUCUAUCAAGAGGAAUCGUU